GCAGCAUCAACGACCUCCAGCUGGGCCUGUAAUCCCUCUGCUGCAGACGAGUGGGCAGGAAUACGUCUGGAAGUUGUGUUUCAGAUGCUCGAGGAGGUGCUUGCAUCAAACCUGCCUGAAAUGUUUCCCUUUCUUCAGGGGAAUAUUAGUGUUCCCUCUGAGUCAUUCAGGAGGGGAGCCUGGGAACAAGGCUGCAGCAGAGAAAGCUUUGCCUGGCAAUGCGAGCAGCGGGAACAGUUCCCUGGAGCCAAAUGAGCCUGAGGUCCAUGAGCUGUACCUCGCCAGGAGAGCUGCUCUGCGUGGGAGGAAGAGACGAGGGAGAGCCUGU